rnacentral:lncRNA from 1 species
UAAUUCUGUGUUCAUUGCCAUUUCUAUGAGAAGUGUCUUCAAUGUUUGCUACAAUCCAAGGUACAUAAUCUUGGGUAUUAUAUUAGAAAGUGGCUAUUCUCGAAUUGAACUUUAAAGAUUGUUAAUUUUUUUUGGGUGGGGGUGGGGGUGUGGGGUGUGGUGGGGGUGGUUGUGGGGGUGGGGGGAGGUCAAUUUGAUUCCACGUUUAACUACAUUCUUACGUUGUUUAGUCUUGUCAUGAGCAUCUUCAUAGGAGAGUUCACAACUUCAUGUCCAUCUCCAGAGCUUCAUAAUUUCAACAUGUUCUGCACUCUAUUAAAAAUGAACUACCAUAAAGCUGCAAAAAUUGUAGAUUGUGAACAUAUAAUUUUGUGACAUAACGACUUUCAUUCUGGUAUGCAAUCUUUGUUGGUGAGAUUCCCCUACUCAAGGAGACUGGGAUAUUGGUAACGUUUUUAUCAUUAUUUUCUAAGUUUUAUUUAUCUCUUUUAAUGGUAAGUUCAUGUUAUUUACUCAUUUUGAAGCAAGGAUCAUACAACGAUUUCAUGUCAAGAAUGUUGACUUUACAAUUUUAUAAAAUAGUUGAAUAUCUUGGCAUGCUUUGUUUAGCCCAUAUCCUACUGGGUAUAUACUUGGUUCUCAUGGUCUUGCUCAGUUUUAUGUGCAUUUCAUGCUUUUUGUGGAGUUAUCAUGUGAUUGUGUACUGCAUGAUGAGCAAAAUUUCUCUUGUACACCUAUUUAAAUUUUAUUUUGCUUUAGACUUUCCUAACG